rnacentral:rRNA from 1 species
AUUAAACGCUGGCGGCAUGCCUUACACAUGCAAGUCGAACGGCAGCACGGGGGCAACCUUGGUGGCGAGUGGCGAACGGGUGAGUAAAGCAUCGGAACGUGCCCUGGAGUGGGGGAUAACGUAGCGAAAGUUACGCUAAUACCGCAUAUUCUGUGAGCAGGAAAGCAGGGGAUCGCAAGACCUUGCGCUCUGGGAGCGGCCGAUGUCGGAUUAGCUAGUUGGUGGGGUAAAGGCCUACCAAGGCGACGAUCCGUAGCGGGUCUGAGAGGAUGAUCCGCCACACUGGGACUGAGACACGGCCCAGACUCCUACGGGAGGCAGCAGUGGGGAAUUUUGGACAAUGGGCGAAAGCCUGAUCCAGCCAUGCCGCGUGAGUGAAGAAGGCCUCGGUUGUAAAGCUCUUUCGGUGGGAAGAAUUGCAUAGGCUAAUACCCUGUGUAGA